GAUCCUGGCUCAGGAUGAACGCUAGCGGCAGGCUUAAUACAUGCAAGUCGUGGGGCAGCAGGUUUGUAGCAAUACAGAUGCUGGCGACCGGCAAACGGGUGCGGAACACGUACAGAACCUCCCUUUGAGCGGGGAAUAGCCCAGAGAAAUCUGGAUUAAUACCCCAUAGUAUAAUGAAGUGGCAUCACUUUAUUAUUAAAGAUUUAUCACUCGAAGAUGGCUGUGCGGCUGAUUAGGUAGUUGGCGGGGUAAAGGCCCACCAAGCCUGCGAUCAGUAACUGGUGUGAGAGCACGACCAGUCACACGGGCACUGAGACACGGGCCCGACUCCUACGGGAGGCAGCAGUAAGGAAUAUUGGUCAAUGGAGGCAACUCUGAACCAGCCAUGCCGCGUGGAGGAUGAAGGUCCUCUGGAUUGUAAACUUCUUUUAUAUGGGACGAAAAAGGCUUUUCUAAGUCGUCUGACGGUACCAUAUGAAUAAGCACCGGCUAACUCCGUG
rnacentral:rRNA from 1 species